GUAGAGUAUGCUUCUGAACAUGAUCCAUAUACAGGGGAUCGAGUCACAGUUCAUCGUGUAUCCCGUGAUCAUGGGGUGAAUGAGCAAGACAUCCAACGUAGAGAUAUCCACCUUGUUCGUCAAGUGGAUGAGCCAGACAUCCAAAGAGAAGUCAGCGAAGAUACCAUGAUACAUCUUCUUACAAGGAAAGCGGGGAAGAUUGAGCGUAGGGAAGCAAACCAAAAUUGAAGAAUUGCUCCUCUCUCAAAUAGUUUCCUGGAUGACUCGGCAAACCUGUUGGGUCCUCUAUCAUUAGAUUGUGUUGCUAUGUAAUGAGCAACCAACAAAGUUUUGUUGAAAGAAACAAAAAGGGUAGCCAGUGUUUUCAGUAAUUUACGCAGGUUGGUUUAGUUACAUAUUUUGGAAAAUGGAUACUAGUCUAUUUAAAAGAACCAGAGAAUUACACCGGAUGUCAAACGCUACACACCACGAUGAUCAUUUUAUAUUCUAUUCUUA